CCCUAACAGGAGGGAUAGCCUGGUGCUCCUGCUUCACCAGAGGCCUUCUUACUUCCCCAUCCUUCCUUUCCGACUUCCCCGGUCCGCCCACAUUCUCCGUCAUCCCUCGCCGCCCAUUCAGCGAUGCCCUCCCCAGGCGCCGACACCGUUCUUCCUUCCGGCUUCCCACAUUUUUUAAAAGUCCAGGAGAGUUAUCGAUUUUGGGAUCGAGGAGGUAGAACGUUAUAUGUAUAUGUGUAUAUAUACUUUUCGAGAUCUCGUUUCCGUGUUGAAUUAAGUAGAAUAUGUGGUUAGACGUUUGAUGAUUUCAUCGAUUUGGAGGCAGUGUUCCGUCUUACAAGCAUAUAAUUCCACUCUUUAAUGCUAAGAAAACACUGGAGUUCACAUUUCUUGUUGGUCUCUUUACCUUUCAAGCGUCUCAGAACGCAAUUGCUGCGACAGAAUUAGCUGGAGUUCAGACGACUUAUUUAGGAGAUCUGGGUGGUAUCAAUACAGGAUUUGCAUCAGUACGACAUAUUUGUUUGUUCUUUUAAUAUCAAAUAUCAAUUUCUUGGGCUUGAGGUAAUUCCAGUACCACUUCUCAGUCAAUGACAAUGCAAAACAUUUGGUUGAAUCAACCUUAAAGUAAUGCUUUUACUCACUAUCCCGAAGAACCUAUCUAGAUUCUAGUUUGACACCAGCUUUUUCUGCUACAGUGUCACUUGUUUCUCCAGUUCUUAAGAUCAAUCUAUGGGUGUUAACUCAUGAAAUGUAUAAUCAAGUUCCCCAUGAUACAAUGCUGAUUGUUAUAGACUUCUUUAUUCAACGAGGUUCUCUUUCUUCUGUUAUUUCAAUCUAUGCUCUUCUCUUUUGGUGGUCUUGUGGCAUCAUUUGAUUUCAUUUACCGUGUCAAUUAGCAACCUCAUCUGUGUUAGGAUACUGGCGACUUCCUACAAAUACCCAAACAUCUGGUACUCUUUUUUUUCAUAAUCAGUAUCUAACUUAGUGUCUUUUUCUCUUGUUUUGCUCAUAUUCCUUAUUUUGUUCUUUACUUUUCAGAUCUAGUUGUUUCAUAGUUAACCCAUUUAGUAAAUCUCUGAUUCCUCGAAUAUCCUUGCAUUUCUAUCUUGCUCAAUCCACAUAAUAUUUUAGGAUCAUUAUAAUUUUGCUCGGUGACUAAACUGUCAUUAUACAGUUUAAUGCCUGAUCAUCUGCUACUGAAAACUUCAAUAUGCACAGCCAAUUUUCUCUAUCAGGAAGAAGUUAUUUGACUUUAAGAAAUGAUCCUUCUUGUGCAUUUUGAGGAGAUAGUGCAGGAAAUAUAGCCGCAGCCAGUACUGUUCUCAGCACAUUCAUCUUAGUUUUUGUUGCUGAAUGGGGUGAUAUGUCAUUUUUCUCCACAAUAGAACUUGCUACAGCUUCUUCGCCUUUGGGCGUCAUAGGAGGUGCACUUGCUGGCCAUGCUUUUGCAACUUUGGUAAAGAAACGAGACAUUAUAUAAAUUUCAAUAUAUUUUUCAAGUCUACAACUAAUUUGUAUAAACUUAAGGUUCACAUUCAUCAUGUGCUACAGGAUUGAAGCAGAUAUUGUUGAUUAUUUCAACCUACAGUGCACCUCAUCAUUUUUGUGAUUUCUAAAAUUCUACAUAGCCAGAGGUUUCUGGCCAUUUUUAUUUGAUACACCAUAUUUGUUGAUUCUACUUUGUGCUAUAACUCAUGAAACUUGCCUUUUAGUGCUCGAUGUGAUUUGGAAA